ensembl:misc_RNA Metazoa_SRP Metazoan signal recognition particle RNA
GCCUGGUGUGGUGGAGUGUGCCUGUAUUCCCAGCUACUUGGGAGGCUGAGGCGGGAGGAUCACUUGAGCCCAGGAGGUCUGGGCUGUAGUGUGCUCUGCCAAUCAGGUGUCUGCACUAAGUUUAGCAUCAACUUCCUGGGAGUGAGGGACCAAUUCAGGUUGGAGACUGAGCAGGUCAAGACUCCUGUGCUGAUGAGUAGUGGCAUCGUGCCUGUGAAUAGCCACUGCACUUCAGCCUGGGCAACAUAGUGAGACCCUGUCUCA